rnacentral:rRNA from 1 species
AACCUGGUUGAUCCUGCCAGUAGUCAUAUGCUUGUCUCAAAGAUUAAGCCAUGCAUGUCUAAGUAUAAGCACUUGUACUGUGAAACUGCGAAUGGCUCAUUAAAUCAGUUAUCGUUUAUUUGAUUGUACUUUACUACAUGGAUACCUGUGGUAAUUCUAGAGCUAAUACAUGCGAAAAGUCCCGACUUCUGGAAGGGAUGUAUUUAUUAGAUUAAAAACCAAUGCGAGUCUUCGGGCUCGUUUUCUUGGUGAUUCAUGAUAACUUUUCGAAUCGCAUGGCCUAGAGCCGGCGAUAUUUCAUUCAAAUUUCUGCCCUAUCAACUGUCGAUGGUAAGGUAGUGGCUUACCAUGGUUAUAACGGGUGACGGAGAAUUAGGGUUCGAUUCCGGAGAGGGAGCCUGAGAAACGGCUACCACAUCUAAGGAAGGCAGCAGGCUCGAAAAUUACCCAAUCCCGACUCGGGGAGGUAGUGACAAGAAAUAACGAUACGGGGUCUUAAUAGGUCUCGCAAUUGGAAUGAGUACAAUUUAAAUCCUUUAACGAGGAUCAAUUGGAGGGCAAGUCUGGUGCCAGCAGCCGCGGUAAUUCCAGCUCCAAUAGC